rnacentral:tRNA from 1 species
GUCUUAGUAGCUUAACACAAAAGCACUGAUUUUGUAAAUCAGCGACGAGCAAGCAAUGCUCCUAAAACA